UAUAUAUAUAUAUAUAUAUACUAUUUAAAACACGAGUAGGAGUAUUUUAUCAGAUGUAUAACGCAAGGCGCAGCCGAGCGUUAUAUAUCUGAUAAAACACGACAACGAGUGUUUUGAAUAGCUUAAAAUACGAAUACAAAAGAAUACUAAUUAGGAUGAACCAUAGUAUAAUCAUGCUAAUUAAGAUGAACAAUUAUAUAAUGCCACAUGUGUUUUAUCAGAUAUAAAGUCACUGCUCGUGACAUAUUAUGGCUGACAUGAUUUGCCACAAGGUUUAUGAAUUAUUAAUGAGUA